rnacentral:rRNA from 1 species
GACGAACGCUGGCGGCGUGCUUAACACAUGCAAGUCGAACGGAAAGGCCCUGCUUUUGUGGGGUGCUCGAGUGGCGAACGGGUGAGUAACACGUGAGUAACCUGCCCUUGACUUUGGUAUAACUUCAGGAAACUGGGGCUAAUACCGGAUAGGAGCUCCUGCUGCAUGGUGGGGGUUGGAAAGUUUCGGCGGUUGGGGAUGGACUCGCGGCUUAUCAGCUUGUUGGUGGGGUAGUGGCUUACCAAGGCUUUGACGGGUAGCCGGCCUGAGAGGGUGACCGGCGACAUUGGGACUGAGAUACGGCCCAGACGCCUACGGGAGGCAGCAGUGGGGAAUAUGGCACAAUGGGCGGAAGCCUGAUGCAGCAACGCCGCGUGCGGGAUGACGGCCUGCGGGGUGUAAACCGCUUUCGCCUGUGACGAAGCGUGAGUGACGGUAAUGGGUAAAGAAGCACCGGCUAACUACGUG